GCCCUACUAGCCCAAUCGGCAGAGGCAUGGGACUUAAAAUCCUUGUGUUCCCAGUUCGAAUCUGGGGUAGGGUACCA
rnacentral:tRNA from 1 species